rnacentral:lncRNA from 1 species
GUCUUACCCUUCCGGAGCACCUGAGAUCACCCCUAGUUUUUGGUGGGGUUCGUGUUGUUUAUUCUUUAGUUUUCUAUGUUGUGUCAUGUGUACUAUUGUUUUUCUGUUUGUCUUUUUCAUUUUUAGCCAUGGCGUUGUCAGUUUGUUUUAGAUUUAUGAGUUCGACUGUCCCUUUGGUAUGUUUCGUCCCUCUUUCAGCAGAUAUAAUUUGAUGAUUUUCUGCAACUCAGUUAUUCACAUUUCAACGAAAGCGUUGAUCUCAUAUAUACCAGUGACCUUUGAGCUAAU